UGCCGGGCGACUCUAAGGGGACCGCCCCGGGAUAACGGGGAGGAAGGCGGGGAGUGACAUCAAGGUCAGCAUGGCCUUUAUGUCCAGGGCUACACACGUGCUACAAUGGGCGAUACAGAGGGAAGGCAAGGCCGCAAGGUAGAGCUAAUCCCUAAAGUCGUCCUCAGUUCGGAUUGCAGGCUGCAACUCGCCUGCAUGAAGUCGGAAUCGCUAGUAAUCGCGGAUCAGCUACGCCGCGGUGAAUACGUUCUCGGGCCCUU
rnacentral:rRNA from 1 species